rnacentral:rRNA from 1 species
UCGACGAUGAAUCUUCUAGCUUGCUAGAAGUGGAUUAGUGGCGCACGGGUGAGUAAUGCAUAGGUUAUGUGCCCUUUAGUCUGGGAUAGCCACUGGAAACGGUGAUUAAUACUGGAUACUCCCUACGGGGGAAAGUUUUUCGCUAAAGGAUCAGCCUAUGUCCUAUCAGCUUGUUGGUGAGGUAAUGGCUCACCAAGGCUAUGACGGGUAUCCGGCCUGAGAGGGUGAUCGGACACACUGGAACUGAGACACGGUCCAGACUCCUACGGGAGGCAGCAGUAGGGAAUAUUGCUCAAUGGGGGAAACCCUGAAGCAGCAACGCCGCGUGGAGGAUGAAGGUUUUAGGAUUGUAAACUCCUUUUGUUAGAGAAGAUUAUGACGGUAUCUAACGAAUAAGCACCGGCUAACUCCGUGCCAGCAGCCGCGGUAAUACGGAGGGUGCAAGCGUUACUCGGAAUCACUGGGCGUAAAGAGUGCGUAGGCGGGGUAAUAAGUCAGAUGUGAAGUCCUGUAGCUUAACUACAGAACUGCAUUUGAAACUGUUACUCUGGAGUGUGGGAGAGGUAGGUGGAAUUCUUGGUGUAGGGGUAAAAUCCGUAGAGAUCAAGAGGAAUACUCAUUGCGAAGGCGACCUGCUGGAACAUUACUGACGCUGAUGCACGAAAGCGUGGGGAGCAAACAGGAUUAGAUACCCUGGUAGUCCACGCCCUAAACGAUGGAUGCUAGUUGUUGCCUUGCUUGUCAGGGCAGUAACGCAGCUAACGCAUUAAGCAUCCCGCCUGGGGAGUACGGUCGCAAGAUUAAAACUCAAAGGAAUAGACGGGGACCCGCACAAGCGGUGGAGCAUGUGGUUUAAUUCGAAGAUACGCGAAGAACCUUACCUAGGCUUGACAUUGAUAG